rnacentral:rRNA from 1 species
UGGGGAAUAUUGGACAAUGGGCGCAAGCCUGACCCAGCAACGCCGCGUGAAGGAUGAAGUAUUUCGGUAUGUAAACUUCGAAAGAAUAGGAAGAAUAAAUGACGGUACUAUUUAUAAGGUCCGGCUAACUACGUGCCAGCAGCCGCGGUAAUACGUAGGGACCAAGCGUUGUUCGGAUUUACUGGGCGUAAAGGGCGCGUAGGCGGCAAUUCAAGUCAUCUGUGAAAUCUCCGGGCUUAACUCGGAACGGUCAGAUGAUACUGCUUUGCUAGAGUGCAGAAGGGGCAAUCGGAAUUCUUGGUGUAGCGGUGAAAUGCGUAGAUAUCAAGAGGAACACCUGAGGUGAAGACGGUUGCUGGGCUGACACUGACGCUGAGGCGCGAAAGCCAGGGGAGCAAACGGGAUUAGAUACCCACGUAGUCCCUGA